rnacentral:rRNA from 1 species
CCUACGGGAGGCUGCAGUAGGGAAUCUUUCACAAUGGGCGAAAGCCUGAUGGAGCAACGCCGCGUGCAGGAUGAAGGCCUUCGGGUUGUAAACUGCUUUUAUAAGCGAGAAAUAUGAUGGUAACUUAUGAAUAAGGAUCGGCUAACUACGUGCCUGCAGCCGAGGUCAUACGUAGGAUCCGAGCAUUAUCCGGAGUGACUGGGUGUAAAGAGUUGCGUAGGUGGCAUAAUAAGUAGCUAGUGAAAUCUGGUGGCUCAAACAUUCAGACUAUUAGCUAAACUGUUAAGCUCGAGACCGUUAGGGGUAACUGGAAUUUCUAGUGUAGGAGUGAAAUCCGUAGAUAUUAGAAGGAACACCAAUAGCGUAGGCAGGUUGCUGGGACGGUUCUGACACUAAGGCACGAAAGCGUAGGGAGCAAACGGGAUUAGAUACCCCAGUAGUC